GACAGAGGGUGCAAACGUUGUUCGGAAUUACUGGGCGUAAAGCGCGUGUAGGCGGCUGUGCAAGUCGGGUGUGAAAGCCCUGGGCUCAACCCAGGAAGUGCAUUCGAUACUGCGCAGCUUGAGUCCCGGAGAGGGUGGUGGAAUUCUCGGUGUAGAGGUGAAAUUCGUAGAUAUCGAGAGGAACACCUGUGGCGAAGGCGGCCACCUGGACGGCGACUGACGCUGAGACGCGAAAGCGUGGGGAGCAAACAGG
rnacentral:misc_RNA from 1 species